rnacentral:rRNA from 1 species
GAGUUUGAUCCUGGCUCAGGACGAACGCUGGCGGCGUGCCUAAUACAUGCAAGUCGAGCGAGCUUGCCUAGAUGAUUUUAGUGCUUGCACUAAAUGAAACUAGAUACAAGCGAGCGGCGGACGGGUGAGUAACACGUGGGUAACCUGCCCAAGAGACUGGGAUAACACCUGGAAACAGAUGCUAAUACCGGAUAACAACACUAGACGCAUGUCUAGAGUUUGAAAGAUGGUUCUGCUAUCACUCUUGGAUGGACCUGCGGUGCAUUAGCUAGUUGGUAAGGUAACGGCUUACCAAGGCAAUGAUGCAUAGCCGAGUUGAGAGACUGAUCGGCCACAUUGGGACUGAGACACGGCCCAAACUCCUACGGGAGGCAGCAGUAGGGAAUCUUCCACAAUGGACGAAAGUCUGAUGGAGCAACGCCGCGUGAGUGAAGACGGUUUUCGGAUUGUAAACCUCUGUCCUCUGUGAAGAUGAUGACGGUAGCAGAGGAGGAAGCUCCGGCUAACUACGUGCCAGCAGCCGCGGUAAUACGUAGCGAGCGAGCGUUGUCCGGAUUUACUGGGUGUAAAGGGUGCGUAGGCGGCUUGGCAAGUCAGUAGUGAAAUCCAUGGGCUUAACCCAUGAACUGCUAUU